rnacentral:rRNA from 1 species
AGCAGCCGCGGUAAUUCCAGCUCCAAUAGCGUAUAUUAAAGUUGUUGCAGUUAAAAAGCUCGUAGUUGAAUUUCGGGGUUAGUAGAUUGGUCGUGCCACUGGUAUGCACUGGUCUUACUGAUUCCUCCUUCCUGAUGAACCGUAAUGCCAUUAAUUUGGUGUUGCGGGGAGACUGGACUGUUACUUUGAAAAAUUAGAGUGUUUAAAGCAAGCUAACGCUUGAAUACAUUAGCAUGGAAUAAUGAAAUAGGACGAUCGAUCCUAUUUUGUUGGUUUCUAGGAUUGACGUAAUGAUUAAUAGGGAUAGUUGGGGGCAUUAGUAUUCAAUUGUCAGAGGUGAAAUUCUUGGAUUUAUUGAAGACUAACUACUGCGAAAGCAUUUGCCAAGGAUGUUUUCAUUAAUCAAGAACGAAAGUUAGGGGAUCGAAGACGAUCAGAUACCGUCGUAGU